UGGUGAGUCUAAUACAAAAUGAGAUUUUUAAAUAUAUAUGUUUUUUUAUGUCCUUGCACGUCACAUGGUACCACUCGGUGACACUUGUGCUUCUUUUUGAAAGCUUGAUGCUGAUUGCCACACCCAUGACACUGUAUGGACAAGCAUGCGCUGAACUUUUUUUCCUUUUCUUUUUUUAAUCUCCUUUUGUGGUCUGAAAAAGAAAUGAUGGCAUAUGGCACUGGAACAACACAAGGAUUCCGUUCUGUUAGGAUCCUUCCAGAUCUGCAAAGGGCCAGUGUAUGAACUCAUGAGAGUCUCUGGGAUUUAUCCUCACUACAUGAAUACUGGAAGAAUAUUGGUAAUAACCAAAAUAUAGUGUAUGUUGUAAAAUGUCAUUUUAUGCUCAAAUAAUUUAUUUAUUUAUUUUUUUGUAUAUGUGAACCACUGUGUUUAAUUAUAUUUGGAAGAUGUGGAGGUUUUAUAGCCUGUCAUUUUUGCUGCUUAGUAAAAAAUUCUCAGCAAGCAAAUACAAGAUAAACAUUACACUUGUCAAAUGCUUACUUCCUGUGAUGGUCACACCCUGAGCAGGACCACGGUUGUUUAACUUUGAAUCAUCCUACUCUACAUCACUCUCUGCCUGUAUGUGUGGUGGUUAUAAAAUGAUGAUUAUCAGUUUCUCAAGAAGGAAGUAAAACCACAAAUAGGGAACUAGCUUGUGUUGCUCUUUUCUAAAUAUUUUUUUUUUUUUUAAGUGGGUGGAGGGCGUUUGACACAGUCACCAGUCAUAGCUAAUGCAAUAUAACCUUUUGACUAAACCAUUAACUGUCAUUCGACAUGAGUUUUUGAAGAAGAUUUGCAAUUUCUGGGCUUUUUGUGGCACCAAUCAGAACUGCAGUCUUUUCUGGGUGGACUCAACCAAUGGUGUGAGUUUGACAAACAACAGUAGACAGGAGAAUGUUUUUCUAUUGGAUACACAGAAAUUUCACACUUCACAGUUUAAAAUUUAUGUAUUUCUGCAGAUAAUUUACCCCCCCCCCACCCCCCAUCUUAUUUAUAUUUAUGCAUUUAGCAGGGGCUUUUAUCCACUUACAUUCAGGAUUUUUACCGGUAUUUUCCAGAUUUUGUUAAACUACCCUAAUAAGCUACACCUAGAUAUCACUUUGUCAUAAGUGAGAUUUAAACUAUUACUGACCUCACAGUCAUUAUCUGGAGAGCUGUAAAAAAAAAAUUAUAAAAAUAAAAAUAAAAAGGAAAGAAAGAAAGAAAAAAAGAAUAUAUAUAUAUAUUGUUUUAUUCCAGUGUGUUAGGACACAUAUAUUAGGUGCAUAUUUCACCCAUGUCAAGAAUAAAAGCCUAUAUAGUUUACCAAAAAUAUACAACAUAAAAAAAUGUACAACAAUGCGCAUUUCAACAUUUCAAAUGUAAGCAUUUUACAAAAAAACAAAACAAAUAAAAGUAUUGAAACAGCCACAUACUGUGUGUUGAGAAAACCAAACACUUUUGAUGGGACUGGCAUGCUAUUUUCACAGCACAUUAUGUUUUAGGGAGAUUGAACUUUGAAAUAACAGAGUACUUCUGAAUUGUUGUGGGAAAAUAGCACCAUCUACUGAGAGGUGUGGGCACGGUGGAGUAAGCCACUCAGUCAUAAUGUUGAUUAAAUUAAAACACACAAAGUGCAAGUACUUUAAAUAAUACACUAAUUUGGCUAGUUUUCUCAACAACACUGUAUUCAGUAUUCAUGAUUUGUGACUUGCAUGCUUCACUAUUUCCUGUUUAACAACAAUGCAGUGAUGCCAGUUUAUCUAUAUACAAACAAUCAGAUUUUAAGUAUAUUUAAGGUAAAUUAAUGAACUCAUCACAAGUAAUUAAUCUAAGUUUAGAUUAAGUGGUAUAAAAUAAAAAAAAAUACUUGAUGUUUGUUGUUUGUUAUUUAAAAAUCUUUUGCUUUUGUAGGGGAGUAAAGCAUGCUCACUCAAAUGAACUGCAAUUCUCAAAAGUCCCAGUGAGGCAACACCCCACUCACACUAUUAACCAGUGCUGUUAGUAGCUUGGUAAAAAAAAAAAAAAAAAAA